CCAAUAGCGUAUAUUAAAGUUGUUGCAGUUAAAAAGCUCGUAGUUGAAUUUCGGGAUCAAAUUGUCGGUCGUGCCUCGGUACGCACUGGUAUUAUUGGUUCCUACCUUCUGAAGAACCGCGAUGUCAUUAAUUUGGUGUCGUGGGGAAUCAGGACUGUUACUUUGAAAAAAUUAGAGUGUUUAAAGCAGGCUCACGCUUGAAUACAUUAGCAUGGAAUAAUGAAAUAGGACGUUUGAUUCUAUUUUGUUGGUUUCUAGGAUCGACGUAAUGAUUAAUAGGGAUAGUUGGGGGCAUUAGUAUUCAAUUGUCAGAGGUGAAAUUCUUGGAUUUAUUGAAGACUAACUACUGCGAAAGCAUUUGCCAAGGAUGUUUUCAUUAAUCAAGAACGAAAGUUAGGGGAUCGAAGACGAUCAGAUACCGUCGUAGUCUUAACCAUAAACUAUGCCGACUAGGGAUCGGAUGAUGUUAAUUUUUUAAUGACUCAUUCGGCGCCUUACG
rnacentral:misc_RNA from 1 species